UACGGAGGGUGCAAGCGUUAUCCGGAUUUACUGGGUUUAAAGGGUGUGUAGGCGGACUUUUAAGUCAGCGGUGAAAUCUCCGGGCUCAACCCUGAAACUGCCAUUGAUACUAUUGGUCUUGAAUGUUGUUGAGGUGGGCGGAACGGGUCAUGUAGCGGUGAAAUGCAUAGAUAUGACCCGGAACACCGAUUGCGAAGGCAGCCCACUAAGCAAUGAUUGACGCUGGGGCACGAAAGCGUGGGGAUCAAACAGG
rnacentral:rRNA from 1 species